ensembl:lncRNA
GUGUCGUCUAUGGCCAACGUGUUCCUUUCGGGCUGAUUGUGUGCUUUUCUAUGCCGACAGGCAGGCAGGAUUUCUUGCAGCUGUUGCACGUGCUGGGUCUCAUGCUCCGUCCUGCAGCUGUGCCUUAUCUCGUGUGCACUCUCCACCUCCCCCUGGUCAGAACGUCCUGGCCCUGCUGUGCUCUGCUCAGCAUCUGUCUGCUGCACGAUGACACAGCCGUCACACUGAGCCUGCCUUGUGCUAUCCCUGCAGAUGUUCGGAUGAUUUCCUCUGCCACUCUCCCACCCGUAACUGCUCGGGUGCUUUCCAGCAGCACACAGCUGGCACACAGAGCCAUGCUGACCACGGCAGGGUGCAGCUCCUUGUUGCAGUCCCGUAGCGGUGGGUGGCCGUGCCAAAGGGGGAUCCCACCGCUGCUGCUCCCCAUCCUUCUGCGCUCGUUCUGCACCACCGUGCAUUCCUUUUCCUCGUGCUGCGCUGCCCUCAGAGUGCUCUGCCCAUUUCUCGGGGUCGUUGCAGCAGCUGCUGCAAGUGCAGAUGUUGGAGCAGUUUCUUCCCCACCGCGAGAUGCCUUCCAAGAGGCACUGCCCCUACUGCUGCAACGGCCCCAGUCUGGGACGCCCUUUUGUAAGGGGUUGUGUUGUUUGUUCUGCAGCUGACUUGGGUUUCUUCUGCCACUGUCCCAUGAAAGAGUUGAUUUGCUUCAGUCCAUCCCUGCUCCGUUCUUGGUUCAAGCCAAGCUCCAGUCCCUUCCCUGGUCUCAGUGGGAUCAGUUUGUUCUGUUCUCAUGCACUUACAGAAACAGAAGCUACCAACCCACCAAACCCUGGGACAGGUAUUUCCCUACAGAAGCAUUCAUGUCCUUCUCCUGGCCCCUUUGGCCAAUUCCCAGCUCUCCAAACUGAGGCGUAUGGCUGCAGCCCUCCCCAUGGCUUCUUUGGGGCAGCUGUGGGGCAGCCUCACCCCGAGAAGGAGAUGCCUUUUCCCCACACGCAGCUGGUUCUACGUCCACAUGAGGUGACAUGCUGUUUCUAUGGCAUGAAAACAUGCUGUUUCUAUGGCAACAUCAGGUGAGGACAUGGGGUCGUGGGUCACAUGGGGGUCCUGCAGGGUCACAGAGUUACGGGGUUAUGUGUGGCUAUGGGUUUAGAUGGGGUUUCGAAUCACAGUGAUAGGGUCAGAUUGGAUGGUAGGGUCAGAUGGGGUGACAUGGAGUUACGGAUCACAUGGGUGGUAUGGUCGGGGUGAGGUGGGGGCAGGGAUCCCAGAGUUAUGGGCCACAUGGCGUCGGGUCAUAGCGUGAUGGGGGCAGGCAGAGUCAGGGAGUCACAGGAUCAUGUGGGGAUAUGGUUCCCCCAGGGCUCUGGGUCACGUGCAGCCAUGGGGUCACGCACAUAGAGGGCGAUGAGGUCAUCUUGGUUUAUGGCUCAUGUGGGGUUACGGCUCAGGGCCCCACCUUUGGGCCACAGGGACACCCAGUCCCCUCUCAGGAUGAAAUGAAACCACUGCAAACUCUGCCCCCUUCCUCUUUUUACCUCAAACCACUCCCCACAUCCUCCCAUACUCUCUAUGUCCCCAUACUACCCCAUACCCCUGUGUCCCACCUGCAGCCCACGUCUUGUCUUCUCCUGAACAGCAUUCUGCUCCUGCAGCCUGUGUUCCCACAUCCCUUAAUGUCCCUAUAUCCACCAAACACACCCCCAGAGAGCCCUAUAGCUCCUCAAGGACCUUCUCAGACUCAGUACAUCUCCCCUACAGACAAGCUGGGCCAUCACAGGCUCCUGCAGUCCCCAGCAGCAGCCCACAUCCCCCUCUGAGCUCCCGCUGAAACCCCUUGUUUUCUUCCUCACACCUCCCUUACCCCCUCAGUCCUCUCCUGGGAUCUCAGAGUCCCACAGUCCGUGACAGGACCCCCAUUACCAUCCCAGGAUCCCCAUAGCCCACCAACGAGGAACCCCGCAGCAAUCCACAUCUCAGGAUGGGGCUCCAGCUGUGCACCAAUGCGUUCAUUCAAGAGAGGAGAAUGAAUGAGCGUAAAGGGGGGCCUUUCCUCCUGACGUUGCCCACCGCCUGCGUGUUGGCUGUGCCGUGCCAGCAGCAUUUUGUCCUCGAGCUGUGAGUGCAGGUAUGCGUGCAUACGGGGUUGUGCAGAGGUGGGGCUGAACAUCAGAGCGUGCAUUGCGCUUGGCUGUGUGCACAGUGCUUGCAGGUGAAAGUUUUGCAUCUGUGUGCAUGCACAUGGCAGUGUGCAAGGCUGGAGCAGUGCUCGAGUCUUCGUGCGCGUGGGUGUGCAGAGGGAUGGGGUGCACGCAUGUGAAAAGAUAGCAGGCACUGCAAAGGAAACAGCUCCAUCCCAUCUGGAGCAGUGACAGGCAGGCAGACACUGGGGAGGGCUGCACGGCAGAGGGACGCCCUCUGAGUGCCACAACAUGGAGCGCUGCCUGCAAGCAGAACAGUGCUGGGAUGGCAGCCUGGUGGUCCUAAGCUGCAGAGAUGCUGCUCUGGACCAACAGCCUGUCAUUUUUUUCUCAGAAAACGCCGUCCUUUUGCUGAACUUUGCUCAUUGUACACCCGCCAUCACAGCAAAAAACGCUCAGUGCUGCCCUGGGAAACUCAGCAAUCUCCACAGCGUUGCUCUCCAAGUUAGCACGCUCAUGGCCAGGCUGUGUUCCCUGCAGCUCUUUGCACGUGCUUUGCAGACAGUCUGUCUGUGGGCAGUGCAAAGGACUGCUGCCUCCGUUGCAUCACUGGACGGCAGCAUUCACUGACGGAGCUGUGGCAGUUCUGAGCGAGCGCCGCGAGACCAAUAACGAGGAGGUGGGGCAGCAGCUCUCCGAGUGCCGCGGGACAAAUCAGGCCGUGCGCUCUGUGUGAAUCUCUCUUUCAUUGUGACUGGUUUUUAUUGACUACGUGUGAAGGUGGAGUGCCGAGUUGGGUGGCACUCAGCACUGCCCUGUAAUGCCGCGCACUGCAGCCGCUGCCUGCUGACGCUCCUCCUCUCAGUCCUUCAGCUGCAGCUUCUGCAUCAUCUCCACGAGGCUGUUCACUGCGGAGGCCUGGGAAGAAACGGAGCGAGGGUAGAAACAGGACACCACUUCCCUCGGGAUUUUACAGUCUCUUCCUUUCAGGUCUGACAGACGGAGGCCCUGAGAACAACAGGAGCCGUGUCUGCGUUCACCAAGGACUCACCUCUGCACGUGCAGCGGCAGCUCUGAGGGCAGCCUUCUUCAGCUCCACCCUCCUCUCUUUUUGUCGCCGUCUUCUUGCUGUAAGGCAAGAAAAAUAGAUGAAUUCAUUUUGUCAGCAGCACAGCUGCAGCAACAUGGGCGCCGUACUGAGCAGAAGGCAGCAAAAAGACGGAGGAAAUGGGACUAGGAAGCCUCCCAGUGAAUGAUAUUUCCAGGGGGACGUGCGGAAGACCACCAAGGAGUUAACGGGAAGAGACGGGGUUACAUAUUCUGGCACCUCACUGCCUUUGGACUUUGUAGCCUUCCACUCUUUUCCCCCCAAGCAGAGAAGGAAAAAGCAAAGCAAAGCCCAAGCAAAGUCAAUGUGCUCGAAAAGGGAGGCUGCCUCAGCACGGCGGGUACCACAGCACCUUCUCACCUCUUUGCUUGGAGCUCCGCGCUGCAGCAGGCCCAGGGUGUGCUGCUGGAGCCGGCACGCUGUCUCCGCUCUGCCCCCUCACUCUCUUAUUGGUGGGCAGCUGUGCUGCGGUUGGUUCCUCUUCUUCCAAGCCCUUGCGUUUGCAUCCAGCCAGGGUGUUGGAGACAGAGCGGGGGCACGCGGCAGGGGAAGGUCUUCCCCCUGUGCUGGGACCUGCUCUUCUAGGAAGCCCUCCAGCCUGGUGAGGAGCUUGAGCUGCUGCUUGUUGACAAGAUCUCUCAGAAUGGACCUGCAGCACCACUUUCACAUAGAUUACUGCCAUUUGCCUCAGCACCAAUCUCUGUUAAGAAAGGAAAAACAAGGAGAUUUAAUGAGAGCCCAACACUACUUUCAGUCUGCAAAGUGGGUCCCAAUACCGGGACAUCUCAUCUCGAGUGCUCACGGUCAUGGAUCUUAGGAUCUAUGGUGAACUGUGGGCUCACAUUUCUAAUCCGCACAGGAAUGCUAACUGUAAAUGCCAGGGAUUACGGCCACGACCAACACACAAGCGGCCACAGUCCCAGGAAAGGACGGACAGAAAGCCUAACCAGAAAGACAGUGCACCAAACCCAGGUGCCUGCUGCAGUGUCUGUACCUCUCUUCGGUGCUGUGCCACACUGGGCGCUUCUGCCUUGCCUUUCUGCAAGGCUGCGCUUUGCUGGAAGGCCGCUCGUGUCAGCUUCUGGCAGAAAGGAGACAAGAAAGACAUGAAGAGCGUCUCUUUGGAGGAAGAUUUGAGCACAGCCAACUACAAACUUGUGGUCUUCAAGAGCAGUUUCUUCAGUUUGCCUUUCCGCUGCUACAACCUUGUGCCACUCCUGCAGUCAGCACAGAACUGCCAUGCCCUUUCCUCUCCCCUCCAUCGCACGCACUUGCCCUUCAUGCGGCCCUCUUUAGAGGCACGUACCCACAGCACAGCUCACAAGAGCUUCUCACCUGCGCAGGCUUUCCGUUUCCCCCCAUACCCAGCACCACUCCAUGGACGCGCAGGCUCCGUCCCUACAACAACAGAUGGUGUGUUGAUUUCACAGGCACCAGCAGGCAGCAAAAGUAUUGCCCAGUAAGCCCACGUCCCCCCAGACAACAGGAAGAUGCUACUUUGACCACCCAAACACAAACUGAUUGAUAGUUCACUUCUCACUGCUCCUUCCUGCACUCCAAAUGGAUGCUUACUUGACAGCAUCUACAGCACUGCACCCGCCCAGAAGGAAUACUCUGAAUUCAUUCCUCCAUCCUUCACGGCAGAGGGCUGAAGAAACUCACUUUUGCACGGCAGGAAGGACGGUCCGUCCCUGUUGCGUCCCUCUGUGCGCUGCAAGGCGCGGUUGGAUCUCUGGCAGCCUGCUGGCUGCUGCUCCCAACCGCGGGGAACCGCGCCGCGCCGCUUCUGAAGAGAGAAAGGAAGAAACGGUGGUGGGAACUGGGCAGCCAAGGUUUGCAGAGAGGUUCCAGAUCGUGCCACAGAUGGCAUAUCAGAGUGCUGAGACACUAUCACUAAGCGAAAAGACAGCCUGAGCCACGUCCACGUUGUUAGCCCAGGCUGUCAGCAGUGAGCGCUGAAUCCAACCGGUUACUGAGGUCACCGAGGACCAGCAGGGCUCCCCCUGCUCCGUCCCUUCCCCUUGAAAACAAGGUAAAGGAAGAACCAAGCAGAAGAAGCCCAGCCAUACCUUGCCACUCACACGGCAGCAAUUGGAACCGCGGUCGUCUCCUUGUUGAGACAUGGCCGCUGAAGGCUCAGAGGAAGCUGAAGUUCCCAGGCCUCUGUGCACAGGAACUUCCCCGGCCCUUGGAAGGAGCUGGCUUCCCUCUUCCUAAGACCGCCUCGAUCCACAAAUCUCCCUUGGGACAGGAACCCUGCAGAGAGUACCGACGAGUGCACACGCGGUGCUUCUGACGGGCUCUCCCAGGGUGAUCCCUUCCAAGGAACACUCAGAGCUCAGUCUCUGUGUGCAGCACGCUCACCAGAGCACCAGCUCUGCUCUCCAGCUGUGCCACAAACGCUCCCACCCCAGCACUGAUUGUGACCUCAGCGAGUGCUUCCAUCCUGGAAUGGACGCAUCCCAGACCCACGUCUUAGGAAACCAACACCAGGGUCACCCAAUGGGGUUAUCUGAAGUAAUGGAGAAGUGAAGAUGACUCUUGUGCAGCCCAAUAAAAAACAGUCAAGUCCAGUAUGGCUUCAAAUUGGUCAAUGGAUUCUCAGGGGAACCCUUAGGAAACGAAUCCCAGGGCCUGUGCCAGCAUCUCUGGUUGGGGCUUUGAGUGCCAGGGCUGAUGUCAGCCUCUCAGGCUGUGGCUUUAAGUGCCAGGGCCAGUGCUGGGCUCCCCGGCUGUGUCUGUGGCCUUAGGCCCUUGGCUGGCUCUGGCCUCUCUAGCUGGGGCUGUGGCUUUACGUCCCUGCACUGGUUGCAGCCUUUCAGGCUGUGGCUUCAGUCCCCAGGACUGGGACCAAAUGUGAAGAAACCAACUGGAGGCUCACCCAAUGGGGUUCUGUGAAGCACCAGAAGAGAGAAAUACACACGAUUGCUGUGUAGCCAGGCUGGGUCACCCUCUCGCUCAGGCGCUGCGUGAUCAGACCUAGAAAAUGUUUCCCCCAAGCUGCCUCCAGAUUGGGGUCAUUGGGAUCAUUUAGGGUCUAUGGGGUCAUUGAAGUCAAUGGGGUUGUUGAGGUCUAUGGGGUGUUCUCUUUGAGAUCACCCCAUAGACCUCAUAGACCAUAGAUGAGAGGGAAGAUCUCUCUGAGAGCAGCCCCGCGGAG